GAAUUGAUCAAAUUGGAAAAGUGGACCCCCUUUUUUUAUUUCAUUUCUUUGGACCUCGAAAGAAUUUGUCGAUAUUUCCGAUUAAAUCUUCUUGUUCCUAGAUUUUCUAUAGGAAUAAAUUGUUAUUCCCUUCCUCUACAGAGAAACCUUUCUUCCAAGUCACAAGGUAAGAGUCAUUUCCAUUAUCUUUCUUUGAUUACAGAUCAAGAUGAAUUUACAUCUAUCUAAGUACCAGCUCCGCCCAAUAAUUCACCAAUCUACCAUGAGAUGGUAUAACCCCCUUAUCCUUCUGAAAUACCCCAUACAAAAUACGAAGAUCAAAAAAGAAUAAAAUUUUCUGCUAUAUACCUUAUUUUCCUGGGAUUGUAAUUCAAUUGGUCAGAGCACCACCCUAUCAAAGAAAGAGCAAGAGUAAAAAAAGCAGUGAUUCAAAUCCACACCGGUACUCUAUGUAAAAUUCUCCCCAAAAAAAGAAAAUAGAGACGAAAGAUACUAAAGCAAGGGGUUGCUGAAUAUCAAAAACUUAUUACACGAAAUCCUAUUUUUUUAGAACGAGUUGAGAACGUAAGCAUUAUUGGAGGAGAAGAAGCACUAAAUUGGGGUUUAUCAGGACCAAUGCUACGAGUUUUCAAAAUACAAUGGGACCUUCGUAAAGUUGAUCAUUAUGAGUGCGAACGAAGCAUGUCCAAAAGUAAACCAACCCCUUGGACUGCUACGAAAAACACCAUCGGAUUUCAAAGUAGCACGAUCUAAUUCAAAAAUUUCACCCAAUUGAGCGCGUCUGGCAUAUUUUUUCACAGUAGCAGGAUCACCUCCAGGGCCUAAAUAACUCAAUUUUCUCCCAUGAACUAUUUAUGUUAAUGGAUUAGUUCGAUCCAAAACAUGAGAUAAGGGGUGUAAACCGAAAAAAGAUUCAUAAGUGGUUGUUAAUGGAGUUGAAAUUACGACCAAAAUGGGAAUGGCUAGGGUUAUGAACUUCUAAUCUGAUGAUCGAGUCGAUUCCAUGAUUAUAGGUUCAUUCCAUACCGGACCAGAUCGGAAUGGGGUUAUAUACAUUCUCAAGGGGUCAAUCGAGCGUAUCUAAAUAGAUACUAUGUUUAUAUAUGGAUCCCUACGUCGUUCCAUUCNAAAGCAUGGAAGAAAAACUAGUUUCGUAAAUGAAUCAAUAUUUUGAAUUACGUUCUAUUCUUGAAGAGGUAAUGAUAUUGAAAUCUUGUUGUAAUUGUACUUAAAGUUCUCAAUCUUUCUCAUAUUAUGUCCUUGACAAUGCAUUCUUAUGUCAACAUUUCAUUAAUAAACAUAUCACGUAUUUAAUACCGAAUUUCGUCAAAAAGUCCAUUAAAAUGGUGUAAAAAGACCUAUUUUCCAUCGUAUAUUGAAAAAUUAAAUGCAAAAGCUUGACAAAGUAUUUUUUCCCUUAUUCAAAGUAAUCGAAAAGAAAAUUAUGACAUAAAUCAUGUUCAAGGAUUAGAUGUAUUAAUUAAUUAAAUGUUGAAAAUAAGAAUUUAAUGAAAAAUUAAGUUAGAGAUAUAAAUGUUAUAAUAAGUAAAAGUUGAGGCCCUUAAUGAAAUUAAAAUAAAGUGUAAAACAGUCUUAAGUAUAAUUAGCCCCUGUUUGAGCUCUAUUAUAAUUAGUUUUUGGAAAAAAUUGCAUUUUGUAAUAGUGAUUUUUUGAAAAAUAUGUGAAUAAAAAGAAGGAAAAAUUUUGAAUUACGUAUAAUAUUAUUUUAUUGAAGAAUAUAUAAUUAAAAAAGAAGAGAAAAACACUUUUUGAAAUUAGGAAAAUGCUAUUUGUAUAUUGAGAUUAACACUCCAAUAUACACUCCCCUCACAUGAGAGAAUGAGUCCCACAACAAUAAAAAAUAAUCGUGAAAUCUCUCAUGUGAUAAGAGUGUACACCGGAAACGUAUAACAAAACUCUUCAAAUUAAUGGAGCCAAAAGAGGGGUUGGAUAUGCUUUAUUCUUACUUAUCCCUUCUUAGGUGACAAACUAAUCAAAAUGGGCCAUUGUUGGCUGUGAUGGAAUUUACGCUAAUUUUAGCCGUUGGCCUAGUCUACAUUUGGUCCAAUACAUCGCUGUCAACUUCACCCAACACAAAAAUGACUGAAGUGGAUUAGAACUCUAAAACUAAGGGGAAAAUAUCAAGAAAUCAUUACAUAGAAGUGAUUAAUGUGCUAUAAAUUAGAAAACUUUUCUUUUGAUUAUACUAAGUUGCUUAUUAUUUCAUUAUAAGGGGAUAAACAAAGCAAGCAAAUUUUUGAAUAUUAAAUCUUAUCUCAAUAAAUUGAACACGACUGUCAUAGAGAAGUUAAUAUAAUAAUAAAAAUUGUGAGCUAUCUUGGCCCUAGGCACGAGUAUUAUUAUUUUUUUAUUUUUAUUUUUUUUGGGAAUGUGAAACAAUGGUAUUGUAGUUUUUUGUAGGACCCCUGUGCACACGGUCCUGUGCAAAUAGCACAGCCCUUUUUUGUAAUGCAGCUCAAGAUGUAGGUUAGUACAAUUGAGCAGUACCAUCUAGCUAUGGAGUGAGCCGACUACAAGUCAAUUCUUUCAAGGUUGCUCUCAAUUCAGAACGAUUUAAUACAUUUUGACAUAUCUAACCUUUGUCAUAGUGUUCCAGUAGAGUUUUGUAUUUCUUAUUUAGCCUCUAUUCGGCGUGGUUUAAAAAUUUGAUAAAAAUUUAAGUUAAAAUCAAUAAUUAAUUUUAAUCACAUAUUUCAUGGGAUCCGCAAUUUUUAUUAACUCUUUAACGAUACAUCUUAUCAAUUUCUAUCAAAAUGACUAAUUUUUAGCUUCUAACUCUUUCUUUGUUUGGCUCAUUCUUGAUAAAUCAAUUUUCCUACCUGCCCGCAUUCUUAUUUGAUGAUUAGGUAAAUCAAGCGGCCCCAAAAUAGCUAAUCAAGUCAAUUGCACGAAUUGUUUAGCACGUAACCCUAUUUGGUGGGAUUAAAAUUAGAUUUUGAUAGAAAUUGAUGAAACGUGUAAUUGAAGAGUUGUGAAACCCAUAAAAUAUUUAGUUAAAAUAAAUUGUUGAUUUCGACUUAAAUUAAAAUAUAAAUUUUAAUUGUACCCAACAUGAAUACUCAAUUUGUCAAUCUUUCUCUGUUCUUUUCAAAGCAAGUCACAAGAAAAGAGCCAUUUCAUUUCAUUUCUUUGGAUCUCAAAAUAAUUUGUCGAUAUUUCUGAUAAAAUCUUCUUGUUCCUAGAUUUUUAUGGGAAUAAAUUGUUAUUCCCUUCCUCUACAGAGACAUUUUUUCCAAGUCACAAGAUAAGAGCCAUUUCCAUUAUCUUUCUUUGAUUACAGAUCAAGAUGAAUUUAUAUCUAUCUAAGUAUAUUUAGAUAGAUAUUUGUCAGAUCGUAGCUUCAUGUACCAAACAUUUCUAUAUCGCUGCAUUCAAUAGUUUUGUUCUGACGGUGUGAUGGAGAAUGGGUGAGAGCAAGAGACUUCGAUUUUUUUUUUUGAAGGAAAAAAAUAGGAAAUUCUCUCUUUCUAAGAUAUUAAAUGCAAUAGAAAAAUAUUCGAAGUGUUUUCUUUUGUUUUGCUUUCACCUGUAGAAAGAUAUACCAUGGAGUUUUUGAUUUAUCUAAAAGAAAAAGAGAUAGAACAAAGAAGACAUGCAAAGAAAAUGAAAAAAAGGGAAUAAAAUAAUGUAAUUGGAAUAGUUUAGUAUACAUAGAAAUUAGAAUAAUCUAUAAAUAUCUUUAUUUUCUCAAUCUCGUGAACAAAAUCUAAGAAUAACAUUAGCUAAUCGAACAAGAGGGGGUAGAUCAGAGAAUCAGUUAGUAGUAAGAAAGGGGAUUGCUUGUUCCUUGAAAAGUUC
rnacentral:lncRNA from 1 species